UACGUAGGGUGCGAGCGUUUGUCCGGGAAUUAUUGGGCGUAAAGAGCUCGUAGGCGGUUUGUUGCGGUCGGCUGUGAAAACUUCACGCUUAACGUGGAGCCUGCAGUCGAUACGGGCAAGACUUGAGUUCGGCAGGGGAGACUGGAAUUCCUGGUGUAGCGGUGAAAUGCGUAGAUAUCAGGAGGAACACCGAUGGCGAAGGCAGGUCUCUGGGCAUUAACUGACGCUGGAGGAGCGAAAGCAUGGGGAGCAACAGGA
rnacentral:rRNA from 1 species